GGUAGUGCCAUGGCUCAGCAGUAGAGCAUGUGCUUUGCACACAGGAGGUCCCAGGUUCAAUCCCCAGCAUCUCCA